UGCACAGGGACAUGCACAGGCUUUCAGGAUGAAGGCCAGGNACAUCGCAAGAAGCGAUUUCAUCAGGAUGAUGUUUNNGACAAGCAGGGACUACGGAAAAAAAUGUGGGCG
rnacentral:sRNA from 1 species